rnacentral:rRNA from 1 species
GCAUAUCAAUAAGCGGAGGAAAAGAAAAUAACAAUGAUUCCCCUAGUAACUGCGAGUGAAGAGGGACAAGCUCAAAUUUUAAAUCUGUCGGGUUCUACCUGACCGAGUUGUAAUUUGAAGAGGCGUUUUCUGUGUUUCUGAUCAGUCCAAGUCCUUUGGGAUAAGGCAUCACGGAGGGUGAGAAUCCCGUUCGGUUGAUCAGAUUCGCUUUAUGAUACGUCAUCAAAGAGUCAAGUUGUUUGGGAUUGCAGCUUAAAAUGGGAGGUAAAUUUCUCCUAAGGCUAAAUAACGGCGAGAGACCGAUAGCGAACAAGUACCGUGAGGGAAAGAUGAAAAGAACUUUGAAAAGAGAGUUAAAUAGUACGUGAAAUUGUUGAAAGGGAAACGAUUGAAGCCAGUCGUACCUGCGGGUAAUCAGCCUUUUGGGCAUGAUUCUGUGGAGCGUGAGGAGUUAAACGCCUUCAUGCCUGCAUAUUCGUGUACUUUGGGUGUACUUGCCUGUGUGGUUAGUUAACAUCAAUUUUGGUUAUCAUAAAAUGGCUGGAGGAAUGUAGCUUCGAUUUCGAUUGAAGUGUUAUAGCCUUCGGCAGAUGUGAUGAUCGGGAUUGAGGAUUGCAACGGAUACCCUUCGGGGCUACCUGUCUGAUCUCUGAUCGUUGCUCUGGUGCCGAAAGCGUGCUUACGGUUAUCAAGGUCGAUGGUUAAUAGGUUAGAACGGGUUAAAUUCGUUAAGGAUGUUGACGUA